rnacentral:lncRNA from 1 species
UUUUAUUUCUCUCCCCCCCCCAAUUCCCUUCUUUCCCGAUUCCACUCUCUUUCUCAGCCAUUCUCAGCCUGUACUUCUAUUUCUCUCCCCCGAUUCCCUUUUCUUUCCCAAUUCCCUUUUCUUUCUCAGCCUUUCUCUGACUAAGCCAUUUGCCUAAAUCAUAGUUCCCCCGAAACCCUCAUUUUCUCCCAAAUCAUAGUUCCCCCAAAACCCCAAAAUUUCCCUAAAUCAAACCCAUUUGCUGUCUCCCUCUCUCUUUUCGAUCGACAGGUAUCAUAAUUUUCUAAUCAAACCCAAAGCUCAUUCUUUCAUUUUGAUUUCAUUGCAGCAAGCAAGCCAUUUAUUUUUGAUUUCAUUUCGACUUCAAUUUCACUUCUGUUUUAUUUUUGCAGCAAGCAGAAAGAUUAAGGGAUUUCAUUUUGAAAUCAAACCCGAUUGAAGGCUACCUUUGGCGAGUCCAUCAAAUCAAGGUACUCUUAUUUACUUGUUCUUUUGAAUCCUAGACUUUAGCAUGCUGACAUUUAUAUUUUUUUUCUUUUGUGUUCUUUAGUAUAUGCCAUCUAUUGGGAAUUUUAUUGUUGUUCUCUUUCCCUCUGCGUAUGUAGUUAGUUUCCUAUUAUGGGAAUUUAUUUUGUUGGUUUUGAUUUCUGCGUUUGAUUUUGGCUUUUUGGUUCUUUGAGUCGGAAGAUUGAUGGCCUUUUAUGGGCUAGUUUGAUUUAUAUUGGCAUUUGAUUAUACAUGAUUGGAAAAUGGUUUAAUAUGUAUAGAUUCUCCAAGACUAGAAACUUUAUCCUUGAUGUUUCAAGUUACUGAAUGAUGAACUUGGCUGUCUUGAAACUACAACCUAUACAUGAGUGACCUUCGAUACCGUAAACAUGUUUUCAGUUAUCAGUUCAGUGUCUUCUCAUGUGAUCAUUGGUAGAAGCAAUUCCUUGUAGGAUUAGAUAGUUUAGGUUAGAUAACCCGACCUAUAUUGAAUUGCUUGCUCUAUUUAUUGUGUUUUGGUUUCAAUGGUCAAUAUUCUGGGCUUAUUAAACUCUAAAAAUGCGUGUCACCAGUCAUCCUCAUGAAAACAUGCCUCAAAAACACUCUUUGCUUCUGCUGUUGUGCUUGUGCUGCCUUACACUCAAAUAUUUAUGUUACCAAUCUUAGCUGGUCCAGUCACCUUUUCUUCCAUGAUCUUCUGCAUAUUGUGUAACAUUAAUACAUCCUUCCUUAUCCUGCAUUGCUUUUACACUGUUAAAUAGCGGGUAGUAGCUAUCCCUGAAGUUUUCUGGAGAACUUUAGAGUCAUAAAAACCCUGGCUAAAGACUUCCUGAUUCUGAAAUUUGCUGCCUUGCGUUGGAGGGCACCUAUUGAUAUAAUUAAUAAUUACGACCUUUUUUAGGUAAAAUAAUGUGAAUUUGCAUUUAAUUAAAUUGUUUAUUUACCAUAGAAUCUUUUUUCGCAAGCCCCAUGAUAUAUAUUUUCAUUUCUCAUUAUUUUCUUCUAAGAUCUUUUUAUCAUAAUACUAAAUCUACAGUUAAUGGCUCUCUACCAUCUUAAAAGUUGAAUUAUAGUCUAAAUCACCAUUUUUUCCCUUUAAUUUCUUCGGUUAAUAAUUAGUACGGUAAACGUGGACCAAUUGCCAUCUUUAAAAUUAGUUGAAAUGACUCUUGAAACCAACAAAAAAGCUGGUACACUUCUCAAAUUUUUAUUUUUAUUUUGGUGGAAAACAUUUCUCAAAAUUUUAACCACGGUGUGACAAGAGAUAUGUAUUUCUUCUUAACUUGGCGAGCUAUACAGACUUCGCCAAUACAAAUUAGUCACGCUUCAUAAUUGUGAAUCGGUAAGCAACUCACCAUUUUUCUAUAUAAAAAAACAUUUGGGCAAAUCAAAUUUAUUAUACAUUUUCAUGACAAGUCUCGCCAGCUGUUAUCAAUUUUAUUAUGUGCAUGCCUCGCCAUUUUCUUUUUAUUUUGGUAUAUAUCAUUGAAGCUUGGCAGUAUACAUACUAUUGGUGCUUAUAAUUUGCUCAUAUCGUUGGCUGUCAUUAGUGAUACCGUAACUGCAUAUUUGUUUUAUUUUCUCCUUAAUCCUCAAGUCAUGCUCUAAGAAAUACACUCAAUUGAAGUUUGGAGCAACUCUAUCCUCUUUUAGUUCUCUGAUCUUAUGAAUGUGCAGAGCAUGUUUGUAAUGUCUCUGUCAUAGUGGCUUCAUCAUAUGAUAUCAAUUACUAUGUUACACAUUGAUGGUUAGAAAGCUGUAAUUAAUUAUUUUUUAUUCAAUUUGAUGGCUCGGAAUAAAUUGUUUGUGGUGAUGCAUGCAUAUUCACGUAACAGAUGAUGUGAUUGUUAUACAUAGCUGCUACAUGAGUUGAGACCUGAUGAGAGUAAGUUGGAGAAUAGCCUGUGUUAUCCAAAAAUUAGUAUUUUGUUCUAACAAUUACUCUUUUGCAUGCUAACUCAGCAUAUUACAGUGACAUCUGUGUCGGAUCAAUUGCUUGCCGGCUGGAAAAGAAGGAAGGUGGGGCUAUCCAUUUGUACAUCAUGACAUUGGGGUUAUCCAUUUGCCAGCAUAUUACCCUAGACUUCUGUGAUGAGUUAAAUGGAUUUAACUCAAUUGAAUAAUGAUUAAUUCACUUGUUUUAAGUGUUUUUUUUCAUUUUAUAUUUUUUAUAUAAAAAAUAUAUAUACUUAAAUCACAAAAUGAUAACUAAACUAUACUUGUUUUCCCAAAUUGAUAUUUAAACUUUUUUGUUGUCAUAAGUGGUACUUAAACUAUACCACUUACCCAUUUUAUCUCUGUUGUUAAAGAAAUUCCCUUAACCAAUCAUUUUGUGGCACGAUAUAAUUUUUAACUAAAAUAUCCAAAAAAAAGAUUAAAUAUUAUUUCCUUUAUAAACAUAUUUAUCUUUUUUUGUUUUCACCUAAAAGUUCUAGUGAAAAAAAAUUCAAGAACUAAUCGAGAAACACAUUUGAACCUAGUUUUCGACAAUAAAGCUUAGAUUGCGAUGAGUGUUUUUUUUCUUUUUAAUUUUUUAAUAUAUUCUACUGACACAUUGCAAUUCCAAGUAUCUAUGUUAGUGAUUUAGUAUCUCUUCUUAAAUUUGAAUCUCGAUGAUAAUUAGACUGGAGGAUGCCAUUACUGUAGUAAGGAUCCUUUAAAUAUUUACCUUUUUUUAAUAAAUUUUGAACUAGAGUGAACUGGCAAAAGUGUUGUUAAGAAGCUGAGGGUGUUACCGUUGCUCAACCAAUUUAAUAAUUUAGGUUGAUGCUAUAAUGUUAUUGAAAGGCAUAUUUGAGUCAGAUUAUUUUUUUAUUUUAUGGCUGUUUAUUGUUUGCAGGUGUAAUUUAAUUUGCUAGAAUUGACUCUUCCAUCCAAUUUAUAAUUUUUAAGAGGUAUGUAUAUUUAAUUUGCUAAAUCUUUAUUUCUAGGAGAUUAUAUUUGGUAUGUAUUCCAUGAGCUAAUUACAAGGUAAUUACAAUUUCAAAUAGGUAUGUAUAUUUAAUUUGUUAAAUUUGUUUUUAACUUGUUUUUUAAUGGAUCAUUAAUGGAUCAUGUUUUUAACUUAUUUCAAGUCUGUCCUUUGAUUAUUUUUUUUAAUUUGCUUAUGUUGUUUAUCCUUAGAGACUUGUUAUGUUGUCUUUAAUUUUUUUAAUUUGCUUAUUCUGCUUAUCCUUUGGAUCUCUUUGCUACUAGUUCCAAUGCGUAUGUUCUUCUCAUUGCUACUGGAAACCUUUGCGUAUGUUGUUAAGUAUGAAUAAGUAUGAAUUAAUUUUAUUACCAUGUAGCUUGCUUGUCCAUUAAAAUUACAACAAUAGCUGACCUUCUCUCCAACCUUUUUUUAAAUAUUUUAAAGAUUCAAAGUAUAUAGGCUGGAAACCUGACGGGUUGCCUUAUAUCGAGCUGUAAGAUAUAAUGGAUCCUCCCUAGGUGUAACAACGCCACGUAUGAUGAAUCUUAAAAAAUUCAAAAAGACUUGAAAAAAGUUCUAUCGAGCUCAUUUACUAUUGAAUAUUUAUUACCAUGUAGCUUGCUUGUCCAUUAAAAUUACAACAAUAGCUGACCUUCUCUCCAACCUUUUUUUAAAUAUUUUAAAGAUUCAAAGUAUAUAGGCUGGAAACCUGACGGGUUGCCUUAUAUCGAGCUGUAAGAUAUAAUGGAUCCUCCCUAGGUGUAACAACGCCACGUAUGAUGAAUCUUAAAAAAUUCAAAAAGACUUGAAAAGAGUUCUAUCGAGCUCAUUUACUAUUGAAUAUUUAUUACCAUGUAGCUUGCUUGUCCAUUAAAAUUACAACAAUAGCUGACCUUCUCUCCAACCUUUUUUUAAAUAUUUUAAAGAUUCAAAGUAUAUAGGCUGGAAACUUGACGGGUUGCCUUAUAUCGAGUUGUAAGAUAUAAUGGAUCCUCCCUAGGUGUAACAACGCCACGUAUGAUGAAUCUUAAAAAAUUCAAAAAGACUUGAAAAAAGUUCUAUCGAGCUCAUUUACUAGGUGCAACAACUUAGAGCGGAGGCAGCAGAGAGGGAGGCAGCGGCUGCAGCGAGAGAGACAGAGGCACGAGCGAUGGUAGCAGAGCAAAGCAAAAAGUACGAUGACCUCCAGCUACAGCUUCAUCAGAUGAUGCAUAUGUUUCAGCAAUCGCAAAAGCCGCCAUCUUAGACAUUAGUUUUCUUAUUGUAAGAAUGUUUUUAAGUUUUGUCACGUUUAACAGUAUUGUAAAAAUAUUUUAAAUUAUACUUUAUUUAUUAAUUAUAUCAUAUAUCUUUAGUUAAA